rnacentral:tRNA from 1 species
UCGGUGGUCGCUAAUGGUAAGCACGCUGGCUCUGAACCAGCCGAUGUAGGUUCGACCCCUACCCGCCGAUCCA